rnacentral:rRNA from 1 species
GCAAGUCGUACGAGAACUCUUUAGCUUGCUAAAGAUAGUAAAGUGGCGCACGGGUGAGUAACGCGUGGGUAAUCUGCCUCUGAAUCGGGGAUAACAUUGCGAAAGCGAUGCUAAUACCGGAUAACAUCUCAAAACCAUCUGGUUUUGAAAUUAAAAAUGGCCUCUACAUGUAAGCUGUUGUUUGGAGAUGAGCCCGCGUACCAUUAGCUUGUUGGUAGGGUAAUGGCCUACCAAGGCAACGAUGGUUAGCUGGUCUGAGAGGAUGAUCAGCCACACUGGAACUGACACACGGUCCAGACUCCUACGGGAGGCAGCAGUGAGGAAUUUUGCGCAAUGGGGGAAACCCUGACGCAGCAACGCCGCGUGAGUGAUGAAGGCCUUCGGGUCGUAAAGCUCUGUCAAGUGGGAAGAAACUGUAAGAUGCUAAUAUCAUUUUGCACUGACGGUACCACUGAAGGAAGCACCGGCUAACUCCGUGCCAGCAGCCGCGGUAAUACGGAGGGUGCAAGCGUUAUUCGGAAUUAUUGGGCGUAAAGGGCGCGUAGGCGGCCCUUUAAGUCAGAUGUGAAAGCCCGGGGCUUAACCCCGGAAGUGCAUUUGAAACUAAAGGGCUUGAGUAUGGGAGAGGGAAGUGGAAUUCCUGGUGUAGCGGUGAAA